rnacentral:rRNA from 1 species
UACGUAGGGGGCAAGCGUUGUCCGGAAUUAUUGGGCGUAAAGAGCGUGUAGGCGGUCCGGUAAGUCAGCUGUGAAAGUCAAGGGCUCAACCCUUGAAAGCCGGUUGAUACUGUCGGGCUAGAGUCCGGAAGAGGCGAGUGGAAUUCCCGGUGUAGCGGUGAAAUGCGCAGAUAUCGGGAGGAACACCAAUGGCGAAGGCAGCUCGCUGGGACGGUACUGACGCUGAGGAGCGAAAGCGUGGGGAGCGAUCCGG